UACGUAGGGGGCAAGCGUUGUCCGGAUUUAUUGGGCGUAAAGAGCGUGUAGGCGGCUUCACAGGUCCGCUGUGAAAACUCGAGGCUCAACCUCGAGCUGUCGGUGGAAACCGUGUGGCUAGAGUCCGGAAGAGGAGAGUGGAAUUCCCGGUGUAGCGGUGAAAUGCGCAGAUAUCGGGGAAGAACACCCGUGGCGAAGGCGGCUCUCUGGGACGGUACUGACGCUGAGACGCGAAAAGCGUGGGGGAGCAAACAGGG
rnacentral:rRNA from 1 species